rnacentral:rRNA from 1 species
AUUGAACGCUGGCGGCAUGCCUUACACAUGCAAGUCGAACGGCAGCACGGGUGCUGCACCUGGUGGCGAGUGGCGAACGGGUGAGUAAUACAUCGGAACAUGUCCUGUAGUGGGGGAUAGCCCGGCGAAAGCCGGAUUAAUACCGCAUACGAUCUACGGGUGAAAGCGGGGGACCUUCGGGCCUCGCGCUAUAGGGUUGGCCGAUGGCUGAUUAGCUAGUUGGUGGGGUAAAGGCCUACCAAGGCGACGAUCAGUAGCUGGUCUGAGAGGACGACCAGCCACACUGGGACUGAGACACGGCCCAGACUCCUACGGGAGGCAGCAGUGGGGAAUUUUGGACAAUGGGCGAAAGCCUGAUCCAGCAAUGCCGCGUGUGUGAAGAAGGCCUUCGGGUUGUAAAGCACUUUUGUCCGGAAAGAAAUCCUUGGCCCUAAUACGGUCGGGGGAUGACGGUACCGGAAGAAUAAGCACCGGCUAACUACGUG